AGUAACACGUGGGCAACCUGCCUAUGAGACUGGGAUAACUCCGGGAAACCGGGGCUAAUACCAGAUAAUUUUUUUCUACACAUGUAGAAAAGCUGAAAGAUGGUUUCGGCUAUCACUCAUAGAUGGGCCCGCGGCGCAUUAGCUAGUUGGUGAGGUAACGGCUCACCAAGGCGACGAUGCGUAGCCGACCUGAGAGGGUGAUCGGCCACACUGGGACUGAGACACGGCCCAG
rnacentral:rRNA from 1 species